rnacentral:rRNA from 1 species
CAGUAGCCGCGGGAAUACGGAGGGUGCAAGCGUUAAUCGGAUUUACUGGGCGUAAAGCGUGCGUAGGCGGCUUUUUAAGUCGGAUGUGAAAUCCCUGAGCUUAACUUAGGAAUUGCAUUCGAUACUGGGAAGCUAGAGUAUGGGAGAGGAUGGUAGAAUUCCAGGUGUAGCGGUGAAAUGCGUAGAGAUCUGGAGGAAUACCGAUGGCGAAGGCAGCCAUCUGGCCUAAUACUGACGCUGAGGUACGAAAGCAUGGGGAGCAAACAGGAUUAGAUACCCGAGUAGUCCCUGUCUCUUAUAC